rnacentral:rRNA from 1 species
AGCGAACGCUGGCGGCAGGCCUAACACAUGCAAGUCGAACGGACCCUUCGGGGUUAGUGGCGGACGGGUGAGUAACACGUGGGAACGUGCCUUUUGGUUCGGAACAACCCAGGGAAACUUGGGCUAAUACCGGAUAAGCCCUUACGGGGAAAGAUUUAUCGCCAAAAGAUCGGCCCGCGUCUGAUUAGCUAGUUGGUGAG